GUGUAGAGAUCUAUAGACAAUGUGGGCCCGUUUGUUUUGGUGUAAGUGGAGUGAUGGAACUCAAGUUUCAUCACUUUCGUUAUUUGUUUUAAUGUAAGUGAAAAAUAUAAUGUAACUCAAGUUACGUUAGAGCUCCACUUCACCUACUCUCGACUUUCUCCUCUAAAGUGCCGAACUCGACUUUCACUACACUCAACCUCCUCUAAAUAAUUUAUUAAACAGUAAAACCUAAACUCUACUUUUUUUAUAAUGGGUUAGAAUUACUUUAUUUAUAAUAAAUUAGAAUUAUCUUUAAAUAAUAAAAAAAAAAUUAAUUAUAUAAUAGAUUAAAUUUUAUAGUGAUAAAUUUAUUAUUAUAUUUAGGAGAUAAUAAGAUCCACUUACUUACAUCAAAACAAGCAACGGAACUUAAAAAAUUAAUUUUACCAGCACCAAGUUACAUCAAAAUAAACAACAGAAGUGAUUGAAUUUAACUUUCAGACGGUACGAGUUACGUCAAAAUAAAUAAUAAAAAAAUAAUCACACUUUAGAAAAAUUCAAACAUUACUAUACUUGACUUACGUUGAAUCUAUAAAUACGUCAAUCCAAACGCUCCCUAUUUGCCUGCGGCCGACAACCAGUGUAGCAAUUUGCCCACAAAAAUACAAAAACAGGCAACAUGACCGAUGGUCAUAUUGACAGCAACACAGCGUUAGGUACGGUCCGCAACUACUCUCCUAACUAUUCUAGUGAAUUAAACUUCAGUAGGAAGCUUCGGAACGGCGUGUUAUUUGAGACCGAUUUACUGUUUAUGUGUUAGUUUUAUUUCUAUUUAAUAAUUCGUUUGAUAUUUUUUAAUAUUAAAAUUUAAGAACAAUUUUUUAAUUAUAAAAGAAAGAAUUAUAGUUAUCGUAGAUAUAAUAAUGAUACGUGGUGACGAAUUGAGACUCUGUGAUAAGAUAUUGCAGAUUGAGACUUCGUAACAAGAUAUUGUUAGAAAGCUCUCUACUGAAAAUUCUUCCAAACUCUAUAGAAAGAUCCGGAAAGAAAUAAGGAGAGAUUAUGUUCUCUAUUAUUUUGUAACAGAGAUUUUGAUUAGGCCAAUUACGUACCAAAUCUAAUAAAAAAAAAUGAGUAAGUUGAUGUAUGUAUACCAUGUUUUGCAAUUAAUUGUUGAAAUUAGAGAGCAGUGGAAACUUAUAAACUGAAUAGUCAACAUAUCCAGGAACCAAAAACGGAUUGGAUUGCUUGUUUUACUUGUCUUCUUAGAUUGCUCUUUGUAUCGAUGCUGUUGGAUCUUCCACACUCCAAGAGAGAAGAGAAGAAGGAAGGGCUACCAAAGUCCUCUUUUAUAUUCACUCUAAAAAAAUCUCCUUUUAUAUUCACACUCUAAAUUUCGGAAACGUGUGAAAAUUUGACAGAGAGAGGAAUCUCUAUAUAUGUACGAAAUCCGAGAGAAGGAAAUUAUCAGAAUCCCUUAAAAUAUUUUGAAUUUCAUAUAGAAAUUAGAAUUACAAUAUUUACUAAAAUAUUUAUUAAGGAUAUGUUUCUUAACUAAUAAAAAAUGUAUAAUUCAUUUUUAUCCGUAACUUAUUAGGAUAAAUUUUAAUUCACAUCUUAUGUGAAUCAGGUUGAAUUUGAACGGAUUAAUGUGAACACACCACAUGACAACAGUAAUUAACGAAGCUGUUUUUUUUAAUUUGUCCGUAAAAGAGUGAUUAAUUAGUUAUGGCUAUCAUUCACUACUGUGGAAUAGUCACUAUUACAUUUAUCUACUUUGCCCCUCGUAGAAGUAUUAUUACGGUAUCACCACCCCAAAAAUAUAAUUGUCUUUUUCUAAUUUCGGAGUAUUCCUAUCUAUUAUAUAAUUUUUUUUUUACAUAAACUAAGGUGAUACCUCUUUUAUUAGUGCUCUUUAGCUACUAUAAUUAUCAUUCUAUCCAUAAACCAAGCCUCUUUUAUUGUGAAUUGUAACUACUGUUUAAUUAAAAUACUUCGUAUCACUACAUGAAAUGGUGUAAAAACUACAAAUAGAUGUAGUAUUUUUACAAAGUGGUAAUAUUUUGUAAUGCAUGAAAAACCCCAGACCGUGAAGAAACUGCUAUCUAAAAAGUUUUAAGUCCGCAUCUUCACGAAAUCCAAUGAUGCGAAUUUAUAGGUGUCGGUGCGUUCCCAUGAGUCCAAGUAUAUGUAAACUUGUACGUGUAGGGACAUUGCAUGGUCCAUGAGCCCUACAUGCAUGAUGAUAACAUUAAUAUUGGAAAAAGAAAGAAGAGGAAGCAUAGUUGAAGUAAAAAGCUUUUUUUAAUGAUCGGAACAAAAAUCAAAUACUUAGCCCCGCCAUUGAAUUAUAAUCAAAUACUUAUUUGAAAGAAUUUGAAAUAUAUAUUUGAGUACAAAUUUUUUGCGAUGACAGAUAUAAAAGUUAAAAAUUUUAUAGGGGUAUGUAUAUAGGUGAUUGCAUUUAAAAAAUACACAGGAACAAGGAGGGCUAAAGCCAACACCAAGAAAAAAAAAACAAAGAAAAAGAAAAUAAAAAAAAAAAAGAAGCUCAAGCAAAGCAUAAAAUAUUGAGUGGUUAUGAAGCAUCGCGAUACAAAGUCAACAAAGGCGUCAGAGCAGAGUAACACCAACCAAACUUUUUGCAUCUUCAAAAGGAGAUCAACCAGAACGAAUCACCACAAAAUACUUAAUAAAAGAAGAGCAUGCAAAUCAUGUGGAAAAAUGCUUUAAGAGAGAUUUGAAGUAGUGGUUACAUAAGAGGGUCAAUGCAACGAUCCUUGUGUAGAAAUUAAAUCAGUGUUUCUAGUUGCAAGAAACUGCAGCUAAAUAAAUCUUUUUUUUCCCUUUUUUUUUUGACAAAAAUAUCAACUUAAAGUUCUUAUUUUAUUGAGGUAGUCACUCCAUUGGUCGAAAAUUCAUCUAGAAAAAUUCCUUAAAAAUUUUACAAAAUGUGUCGUAAAUGCCAAUCAUAUCUUAGACCGAAUUGACUCAUUAAUUAACCCCAUUUGAUUCACUUAGGGCCGGUGUUUUGGUGUAAGCGGAAGGGUGGUACUCAAGUUCCAUUACUUCCGAAAUUUGUUUUGGUGUAAAUCAAAAAUAUAGUGUAACUCAAGUUAUAUUAGACCUCCACUUCAUCUACUCUCGACUUUCCCUCUAAAUUGCCGAACUCGAUUUCCACAACAUUUAAUCUUCUAUAAAAAAUUUAUUAAAUAGUAAAACAUAAACUCUACUUCUUUUAUAAUGGGUUAAAAUUAUCUUAUUUAUAAUAAAUUAGAAUUACUUUUAAAUAAUAAUGAAAAUUUUAAUUAUUUAAUAGGUUAAAUUUUGUAGCGGUAAGUUUAUUACUAUAUUUAGAAGAUAAUAGGAUCCACUUACUUACAACAAAACAAACAAUAGAACUAAAAAAACUAAUUUCAUCAGCACCAUGUUACAUCAAAAUAAAUAGAAGAAAUAAUUGAAUUUAACUUUUAGACUAUACAAAUUACAUCAAAACAAACAACAAAAAAUUAAUCACAUUUUAGGAAAACUCAAAUAUAAUUGCACUUGAGUUACAUUGAAUCUUAGAUUCGUCACUCCAAACGCGCCCUUUAUC
rnacentral:lncRNA from 1 species